rnacentral:rRNA from 1 species
AGAGUUUGAUUAUGGCUCAGGAUGAACGCUAGCGACAGGCUUAACACAUGCAAGUCGAGGGGCAGCACGUCAAGGUGGCGACCGGCGCACGGGUGAGUAACACGUAUGCAACCUACCCAUAGCAGUGGGAUAGCCCUAAGAAAUUGGGAUUAAUACCGCAUAAAACAGGGGUGCCGCAUGGCACUAUUUGUUAAAUGAGAAUCUUUGGUUAUGGAUGGGCAUGCGCAGGAUUAGGUAGUUGGUGAGGGUAACGGCCCACCAAGCCAUCGAUCCUUAGGGGAACUGAGAGGUUGGUCCCCCACACUGGUACUGAGACAGGGACCAGACUCCUACGGGAGGCAGCAGUGAGGAAUAUUGGUCAAUGGUCGGAAGACUGAACCAGCCAAAUCGCGUGAAGGACGACGGUACUAAGUAUUGUAAACUUCUUUUGCGGGGGAAUAAAAGGCAUCACGUGUGGUGUUUUGCAUGUACUCCGCGAAUAAGCAUCGGCUAACUCCGUGCCAGCAGCCGCGGUAAUACGGAGGAUGCGAGCGUUAUCCGGAUUUAUUGGGUUUAAAGGGUGCGUAGGUGGUUUUGUAAGUCAGCGGUGAAAUCUUUCCGCUUAACGGGAAAAUUGCCGUUGAAACUGCGGGACUUGAGAGCGGACGAGGUAUGCGGAAUUCGUAGUGUAGCGGUGAAAUGCAUAGAUAUUACGAAGAACUCCGAUAGCGUAGGCAGCAUACCGGAGCGCGUCUGACACUGAAGCACGAAAGUGUGGGUAUCAAACAGGAUUAGAUACCCUGGUAGUCCACACGGUAAACGAUGAAUACUGACUGUUUGCGAUACACGGUAAGCGGUUAAGCGAAAGCGUUAAGUAUUCCACCUGGGGAGUACGCCGGCAACGGUGAAACUCAAAGGAAUUUGACGGGGGCCCGCACAAGCGGAGGAACAUGUGGUUUAAUUUCGAUGAUACGCGAGGAACCUUACCCGGGCUCGAACGGCCGAUGAAUACGGAUGAAAGUCUGUAGUCGCAAGACAUCGGUCGAGGUGCUGCAUGGUUGUCGUCAGCUCGUGCCGUGAGGUGUCGGCUUAAGUGCCAUAACGAGCGCAACCCUUAUCGAUAGUUACCAUCGGGUAAAGCCGGGGACUCAAUCGAGACUGCCACCGUAAGGUGCGAGGAAGGUGGGGAUGACGUCAAAUCAGCACGGCCCUUACGUCCGGGGCGACACACGUGUUACAAUGGGGGGGACAAAAGGCUGCUACUCGGCGACGAGAUGCGAAUCCCCAAACCCUCUCCCGGUUCGGAUCGGAGUCUGCAACCCGACUCCGUGAAGCCGGAUUCGCUAGUAAUCGCGCAUCAGCCAUGGCGCGGUGAAUACGUUCCCGGGCCUUGUACACACCGCCCGU